rnacentral:lncRNA from 1 species
UGACCAUAUAUGUAAGGUCAGUAUGAUGCUAUUGUUAUCGAUUAUUCAAAAAUGGAUUGUUAUAUUGUUAAGGAGUUUGAUCUUUUUAAAUGUAAAUUUUAAUUGAAACCUCAUUUGGGAAAUUACAGUUGGAUUAGAAAAGUCCAUUACCAUCUUACUGUGCAUUACUAUCUAGUGGCUGCUUCUUCAUAUUACAGACAUAGUCCCAAAUCCAGAUGGCUUGCUUCACUAACUCCACUGUGAUGGCAAAAGUUAACAGUCUUCAUGGUCUGGAGCAAGACCUGUUGGCAGUCAUUUUCUCCUUCUUGGUAACAGCUCCUGGCAAAUCCUGGUGGUAACAUGCCUUCUGACUGUCAAGCUGGGGAUUUCCUUUCUGAUCGUUCCAUGUGGAGGAACAUUUUAUACACUUACAAAGUUCUUCCUGCGCACAUGGUUGGACUCUGCAGCUGAGCCACCACAUCAUCUGGUCCAUAGGGCUCCAUCUGCAGAGAAUGUCAUCCAAUUGGGCAAGAAGUCUUCUGUCCUAGGACUUCUCUGAUUGGAGCUUGAGCAGUGCCUAUCCUGAGGUCAAGAGAAACGGAGCUUUGCCAAGGCAGAGACUGAGCCACACCUAGAACAGACUCCUUAAUUCCCAGGGAAAGGAUUGUCAGGUGAUACCAGGUUUCCUGCCAUGAAAAUAUUGCUUAACUCAAAGUAUUUCUGAGCACUUUGCUCCUGAUCGUUUUGUCUCAGCUAGUGC